rnacentral:lncRNA from 1 species
ACAAAAGUAUUAAAAUGUCCUGUCAUGCUCAUUUAUUUAAAUCAAAAUAAGGUCUUUUGCAUAAUUCGCAGCGGAACAAAAUUCAACUCAAUGUAAAACAUGUAACACAAUACAUGUAACUCAUCAACAACCAAUAUCAAAUCAAUUAAGACAUCCCCUCCCGAUGUUACAUCUAUCAGAGCAUGACCAUAAGAACUACUCUAGACUCCAAGCAUUAGCUUCUACUCAACUCAUUUCUCGUUACCUGAAAAAUAG